AUUGAACGCUGGCGGCAUGCUUUACACAUGCAAGUCGAACGGUAACAGGCCGCAAGGUGCUGACGAGUGGCGAACGGGUGAGUAAUGCAUCGGAACGUGCCCAGUCGUGGGGGAUAACGCAGCGAAAGCUGCGCUAAUACCGCAUACGAUCUAUGGAUGAAAGCGGGGGAACGUAAGGCCUCGCGCGAUUGGAGCGGCCGAUGUCAGAUUAGGUAGUUGGUGGGGUAAAGGCUCACCAAGCCAACGAUCUGUAGCUGGUCUGAGAGGACGACCAGCCACAGUGGGACUGAGUCACGGCCCAGACUCCUACGGGAGGCAGCAGUGGGGAAUUUUGGACAAUGGGCGCAAGCCUGAUCCAGCAAUGCCGCGUGCAGGAAGAAGGCCUUCGGGUUGUAAACUGCUUUUGUACGGAACGAAACGGUCUGGGUUAAUACCUCGGGCUAAUGACGGUACCGUAAGAAUAAGCACCGGCUAACUACGUGCCAGCCGCCGCAGUAACAC
rnacentral:rRNA from 1 species